AUGAGCACGCCUAUAUUUGCUUGUUAUGAUCUAGUGGGCACCAUUAACAUUUGCUAUUCCUUCUGCAGGGCCCAAACCCACUAUCGUGCAAGAAAAAUAAAUCAAAGGCCCCACCAUCAGCUGCUCAAAUCAUCAGAUGAGCCAUCAGCUUCUCCUGCUCCUCCUCCUGGUAUACACGAACUCCAGUUCGUCGAGAGGCUCCCUGGAGCAAUGGCAUGCUCCAAGCCCGCCGAGACUGAAUCAUUCGACAUCAAUUCUCUGCACAGCGUGGCUCGACGUGCAGCCCGCCGGCUCCUUCGUGUACGUCCAGACAAGAUGCUAUGGUGUACAAUUUAA
rnacentral:rRNA from 1 species